rnacentral:rRNA from 1 species
AUGUUGGACAUUGUGGACGACUACAGAACCCGAGACCAGGAUUUUCGCCAAGUCCAUCGAAGACAAGUGCAUGACUACGCGGAUUGUACCGGUGACAUGAACAUCUACGAAAACGUGUACCUCUAUCGGCGCCUUCGGAAUCGCCAAGAACGCCAAGUACCUCGACACCCGACGCCAAGAACAACUACCGUAGCGCCGAAGACCUUGGAUGUUCGAACGAGUACCGAACGAAGCGCCAAGUACCACUAUCGCCGAGUACGACUACUUCCACGAUGCGAGAACAGCUACCGUCGACCCUCGAAGCCUCCGUGGACAUCAAGUCCCUCGCCAUGA